UACGGAGGAUCCAAGCGUUAUCCGGAUUUAUUGGGUUUAAAGGGUGCGUAGGCGGCCAUUUAAGUCAGGGGUGAAAGACGGUAGCUCAACUAUCGCAGUGCCUUUGAUACUGAAUGGCUUGAAUGAACUAGAGGUAGGCGGAAUGAGGCAAGUAGCGGUGAAAUGCAUAGAUAUGUCUCAGAACACCGAUUGCGAAGGCAGCUUACUAUGGUUUAAUUGACGCUGAGGCACGAAAGCGUGGGGAUCAAACAGG
rnacentral:rRNA from 1 species